GAGACAGUGUGAAGGGCUUGGCUCGGUCCCUCCAGACAAGUGCGUCUUGAGGGAGCCUGGCUGGGGCAGGCCCUGGCCUGGCUGAUCAUGCCAUUCCCAAGGGGCCAGAAUGAUUCCUGGCUCUGGGACUCAGCCCGGCAGACACAGUUGCUUCCCAGCAAGGCUGCUUGUUAAUGUCAUGAGCCAAAAAUGAGAGAAUGCAGUGUGGAUUAGCAGAUAUAGAUAACCAUCGCCAUCUGAGAGGAACAGGUAGAGCCUCUGGGACGAUUGAAAAUGGGCCCAUCCCUAGACCGCCGGAGUCCAGUGGAGAUGAAUGAGCCUCCUCAUGAUGGGUCCCCUCAAUGCACAUUUUGGGGGAAGGAGG